rnacentral:rRNA from 1 species
GAUGAACGCUGGCGGCGUGCCUAAUACAUGCAAGUCGAGCGAACAGAUGAGGAGCUUGCUCCUCUGACGUUAGCGGCGGACGGGUGAGUAACACGUGGAUAACCUACCUAUAAGACUGGGAUAACUUCGGGAAACCGGAGCUAAUACCGGAUAAUAUAUUGAACCGCAUGGUUCAAUAGUGAAAGACGGUUUUGCUGUCACUUAUAGAUGGAUCCGCGCCGCAUUAGCUAGUUGGUAAGGUAACGGCUUACCAAGGCAACGAUGCGUAGCCGACCUGAGAGGGUGAUCGGCCACACUGGAACUGAGACACGGUCCAGACUCCUACGGGAGGCAGCAGUAGGGAAUCUUACGCAAUGGGCGAAAGCCUGACGGAGAAACGCCGCGUGAGUGAUGAAGAUCUUCGGAUCGUAAAACUCUGUUAUUAGGGAAGAACAAAUGUGUAAGUAACUAUGCACGUCUUGACGGUACCUAAUCAGAAAGCCACGGCUAACUACGUG